rnacentral:rRNA from 1 species
GACGGAGGAUGCAAGCGUUAUCCGGAAUUAUUGGGCGUAAAGAGCUCGUAGGCGGUCUGUCGCGUCGAUCGUGAAAACUUGGGGCUUAACCCUGAGCUUGCGGUCGAUACGGGCAUGACUGGAGUUCGGCAGGGGAGACUGGAAUUCCCGGUGUAGCGGUGAAAUGCGUAGAGAUCGGGAGGAACACCAGAGGCGAAGGCGGCCUGCUGGGCAGUAGCUGACGCUGAGGCGCGACAGCGUGGGGAGCAAACAGG